ensembl:lncRNA
CAACAUGGAGGCAGACAUAAACGAUCCUCGCCAUGCAUCUCUACAUAAAUACAGGUUGUUAUGAAUAUUUCUUAAGGGAUGGAUUUCUAAAGAACAGGACCUCAAAGGCUGUGGAUCCUAGCACUUGCACGUUACCUAAAGGGAGGGAGGGUCUCCAAGAGGCGUGAGGCACCAACCUUCACAGUGAGACAACCUUCACGUCAUAACCCACCCUCCGAGAGAGCAAGGGCGGUGAGUCGGGAAGCAAACUGCAGUGAACUGACCUGGAACUUAACAGUGGGCGCCAAACCCACACUUAGCCUGCAUCGGACGCAUAAGGAUUUGGCAAGCCCUCAAAUUUCUCUGGACAUCAGUUCCUGGGUAGGUGAGUGCUGUCUCCCCGGGGACGGGUGUGAGCUGAGAAGGUAAUGCUUUUGUGGGUGCUUGUCUCUUGCCAGGUAUCCCAAGAAAACUCUUAUUUAUGUAUUUGUUUGUUUUUAAGAAAUGU